CACGUAGGCGGACUCUUAAGUCGGUGGUGAAAUCCUGGAGCUCAACUCCAGAACUGCCUUCGAUACUGAGAGUCUCGAGUCCGGGAGAGGUGAGUGGAACUGCGAGUGUAGAGGUGAAAUUCGUAGAUAUUCGCAAGAACACCAGUGGCGAAGGCGGCUCACUGGCCCGGUACUGACGCUGAGGUGCGAAGCGUGGGAGCAAACA
rnacentral:rRNA from 1 species